AUUUAAGCAGCGUGCACGCUACAAACAACGUGAUGUAUUGUUUCCUAUGAGACUUACUGAGCCAUGCUUUACCUACCAUUGUCUUGAUAUUCUGUGAAUGACUUCUGCUUUGUUUUUUGGUUUUCGAGUUACAGUUUUUGCUAUUCAGAUUUGCUUGUCUGUGUUUCUUGCUUUCCGAUUUUGACUCUUUUCCGCGUCCUGCUAAUCAGGUUUUUUUUUUGACAAAUGACAAGCAAGGAUCAGUAUUCAGUUAACUAAUGCUUUGUUGUGUAAUGGGCAAUUAUUUGUGCAGUAAUCUUAUCCUGCUUAAAAAAAAUGAAAAUGAAAAACAAAAUUUACUUGGUCAGAGGUCAAAUAUCAAGAAUAAAGUUUGACCUAUUGGGUUAAUAGGUUGCUGUAUAACAUCAGUAAUGUUAAUAGAGACUACUGCUUACUGAUUGUUAACUUACUUAGCUUAACUAAAGCAUAACUAGCCAUGCAUGACAUAAGUAAGAUAAUGGCAGAUUUAUUCACAUACACAAUAAAGUAAUUUUUCAUUGUUCAUUUCUUCUUCAACUUCAUUGUUGCAAGCUAACAUUAGAUUUCAUAUUAAAAAAUGCCAUUAUGAUUAUCAUAGGACGUGUUUACCUCUACAUGUUUUCACAUAUGAUGGAGAAUUUGAAAUUAUAAGACAAAAUCGUAUGUUACUGUAUAAUUUGUACUGCAUUUAGUGAAACCAAAAAGCAAUGUAGGUCAAAAAUAAUGUGCACGCUGUACCUUGGUUGGCUUGCUGUGCUGUAAAUAGACAACUGUGUUUUUGUUUGUUUGUUUUUGAUGGUCUGUAAGAAGAAGAGGUCAAAGAUAGAGAUAGAGAAGAAAACCAAGUGGUGGAACCUGAAAAAGGAGCAAUGUUGUGAGGAAUUUAGACAGAAGUUGAGGCAGGCUCUGGGUGGCCAGGUAGUGCUGCCAGAUGACUGGGAAACUACAGCAGAAUUGAUCAGGGAGACAGGAAGAAAGGUGCUGGGUGUGUCAUCUGGAAGGAGGAAAGAAGAUAAGGAGACUUGGUGGUGGAAUGAGGAAGUUCAGGAUAGUAUUCAGAAGAAGAGGUGAAGAAGUGGGACAUGGACAGGACUGAAGAGAACAGACAGGAGUACAAUGAAUUACAGUGCAGAGUGAAGAGGGAGGUGUCUAAAGCCAAGCAGAAGGCAUAUGAUGAGUUGUACACUAGGUUAGAAGGGGAGAAGGACUUGUACAGGUUAGCGUGGUUAGAGUUAUUAAGGAUAGAGAUGAAAAGGUGCUCAUAAGUGAGUAGAGUGUACAGAGGAGAUUGAGGAGAAUGAGUACUUUGAAGAGUUGAUGAAUGAGGAAAAUGAGAGGGAAAAAAGAGUAGAAGGGGUGAGCUCUGUGGAGCAGAAAGUAGAUAAGAUUAGAAAGGAUGAAGUCAGGAAGGCCUUGAAGAGGAUGAAAAGUGGAAAGGCAGUUGGUCCUGACGACAUCCCGGUGGAGGUCUGGAAGUAUCUAGGAGAGGCAGCAGUGGAAUUUUUAACUAGUUUGUUUAACAGGGUUUUAGACAAUGAGAAGAUGCCUGAGGAAUGGAGAGCCUUGGAGUGCGUUAGUGCCAAUCUUUAAGAAUAAGGGAUAAAGUUGUUGAGCCAUACAAUGAAGCUAUGGGAAAGAGUAGUGGAAGCUAGGUUAAGGAAGGUAGUGGAAAUUUGUGAGCAGCAGUAUGGCUUCAUGCCCAGAAAGAGCACAACAGAUGCAAUUUUUGCUCUGAGAAUUUUGAUGGAGAAGUAUAGGGAUGGUUAGAGAGAGUUGCACUGUGUUUGUAGACUUGGAGAACGUGUAUGACAGGGUGCCAAGAGAAGAGCUGUGGUAUUGUAUGAGGAAGUCAGGAGCAGCAGAGAAGUAUGUUUUAUAGAAUAAAUAUGUAAUUUAAUCUAAUUGAUUAAUAAACAAAGAGUGAGGCAGAGCUACAUGAAUUCUUAUGGAAAUUUCUGCAUUUCCCAUAUUUUCUUUUUAGUUGCUAAACACAAAUAACAUUUAUUUUUUAUUUGGAUUCAUAUCUUCUAUUUGGCUUCAGCUAAAAAUCUAUCUGCCUAUAUAAGCACCUUAGUCUUUCCUUAGUCUUUGCACAUUUAACUCAGAGUCUGCAGUGCAACAGAAGUCUUGCGGAUUGUUUGUGCUUCUUCUAAAUGGAACAACUUCCAAGAUCCUAACCAGUCUGGCUUUAAAGCAGCACAUUCCAAAGGCACUACCCUUUUGGCUGUCACUGAGAAACUACAUGCUGCUAGAAUAGCCAAUCUGUCAUCUGUCCUCAUCGUCCUCAACCAUUCGGCAGCAUUUGACACAGUCAACCACAAGAUUCACUUGUCCACCCUCAGGAGAAUUUGCAUGGGAAUGGUUUGCUUCCUACCUGGAUGGUCACUCAUAUCAGAUACAAUGACUUCUGCUCAGAUCUCUGUGUUUGUGGACACAUCAUCAUAGAUGACAGCUCAUCAGCUGAAACUUAAUCCAGUAAAAGUGAACUCCUGGUCAUCCAUGGUGCUUCAUCCCCAGCCCAGGAUCUUGUGAUAUCCCUGAUCAACUCUCUGAUUGCACCUUGGGCCAGUGCUCGCAACAUGGGUUAACCAUGGACAAUCAACUGUCCUUUUUCUCUGUCGGGUUUUUCUGUACAACAACAGAAAAAUGUUGCAAUUUUUAUCCAUACAGGCUGCUCAGGUGCUUGUUUUUCAGUCUCUAGUCAUUUUGAGACUAGACUACUGCAACUCUUUACUGGCAGGUCUACAUCUUAAUGCAAUAUGUCCUCUGCAAAUGAUCCAAAAUGCAGAUGCAUGACUUUUAAACCUGUUCUCCCACACCACCCCACUGCUGCGCUCACUCUACUGGCUUCUGGUAGCUGAUGCUUGCCUACAAGCCAAAAAUGGACCAGCACCCUCUUACCUCAAAGCUCUCAUUUCUCCUCACACUGGUAAUCACACAAUCUCUCAGGG